CUGUUCAGGUAUCUUUGAAAGAUAUCUUUUUGAAAGGACUGCAAGGAGGAGGUUCAGUGUUCUCUCCUGAGCAUGAAGCUGGCUUUAGGUGUUGCUUCCACAACUGCCUAUUGCCAUUGAUGAUUGUUCUUUUCUUCCUUUGGGGGAGUAAGGGGAGAGGGCACAGUCUGAGUGGU
rnacentral:snoRNA from 1 species